GUUGUGGAUUAAAUACUGUAAAGGUGUAUUGAGUAUUUCCAAAAUGUUACACGCUCAGACCUCAUUAUGUGUUACCUUAAUAUCUGUAUUGAUUACUAUCAACUGUAAACUUAUUGAAGACGCUACUAUAGUUCAGUUACCAAAAGGUAAAAUUCGAGGACAUAUUUUGAAAAGCGCUAAUAAUAAGGAUUUUUAUGCUUUCCAAGAAAUUCCCUACGCUGCUCCUCCAGUAGGACAAAACAGAUUCAAAUUACCUAAAGAACCUGAAGCUUGGAAUGACGUACUUGAUACAACGAAAAAUACAAAAAUUUGUUACCAAUACGAGACCCGCUAUCAUAAUUUAGAAAUUACAGAAGACUGUUUGUAUUUGAAUGUUUACACUCCACGGAUUCCAGGAAGUGAUGAUUUACUUCCAGUUUUAUUUUAUAUUCAUGGUGGAAGUUUGGUAAACGAUUCAGGAACUAUCGAAUAUUACGGACCAAAAUAUUUGAUUGAUCAUGAAGUUGUUAUAGUGACUAUCAACUACCGCAUGGGUCCUUUUGGAUUCGUCGGAACUAAUGACGGCGUUAUUCCAUUGAAUCUUGGUUUUAAAGAUCAAGUAUUGGCUAUCGAAUGGGUGAAUCAGAACAUACAUUUGUUUGGUGGUGACCCAGAUAGCGUGACUUUAGUCGGACAAAGUGCUGGGUCUCUGUCAGUUGGGUAUCACCUUAUUGGUCCAUGGAAUAACGGAAAGCAGUUAUUCCAUGGGGUUAUCAUGCAGAGCGGUACCCCGGUAUCAGGUUUAUUGGAACAACAACCGGGUACUGAAACAGAAACAGCUUUUCAGCUUGGUAGAGCUAUUGAUCCGUCGUUUACCUCAAAUAACACCAAAGAUUUAUUGAAGUUACUUAUAGAUGCCGAUGCACACGAUCUUAUGUGGACACACAUUGUUGGUGGCGCUGCUCUUGAAAGAGAUGGUCCAUUUUCUUAUCUACCGCUGCAGUCUUUCAUAGAUGGAAAUUAUAAGAAGGUUCCGGUAUUACUAGGCUUCAAUUCUGAAGAAUGGUUGUUUGCUUAUUUCGAUUUGAGCAAUGAGUUCUUGGAAACAGUAGAUCAGAAUCCUGAUUUGUUAAUACGAUCGCUACUAAAUAUGUCUACUGAAAACAGGCGCAUUGCGGGAAAGCUAUUACAACAACUCUAUACGAAAAAUAAAACUUUUGUUCAGGAUUGGGGUGCGUACGUACGGUAUAUAACUGAUGAAUACUUCACUACAGGAAUUUUUAAACAAGUAGAAUUGGCUUCUUCGCACGUUCCAUACUAUCUAUACAAAUUUUCUUAUAAAGGAUAUCUUGGUGAACAAAUGGAUAUGUUACCAUAUUUACCCGCAGAUGUAGAGACUGUCGCUCAUGCUGAAGAAGUAACCUACAUGUGGGAUAACGGCAGCAAUAGUGACCUAAGUCAAUUUCCCAAAGAAGACGUGUUAAUGUCCCAACGUUUCCUCAAGCUCUGGACCAAUUUUGUCAAAUACCAGUGAGUAUAUGGAUACCUCAUCGAAUACAAAUCGAUUUGUCAAAAAAUGAAGUUAAUUAAUCUUAAGUAAAAAUAUUCAUAUGCCUAGCAAGGUCAUUUUGAUUUUUCUCUGAUAUGUGCGAAUGUCUUCUGAUCAAUUGAAUAUACAGAAAUGAAUCGUUUUGAUAAGGAUUUCACUCUGAAUACAUUAUCAGUAUAUUUUAUUUUUUUUUUAUUUUAUCUAUAUAAGACAAAUCGUUUGUGUAGUGGUAUCAUUGUUAUUGAAUUAUAAUGAACAUUCCUAUUAUUGUAACAUGAAUUGUUGUAUCUAUGACAAUGGUUGCGGUCAAGGUGAGUUCCUCUCGAGCAUGCAAUGAAUUGGAUGGCUUUGAAGUACUUUUCAAAUUUAUUAUUGAUAGUUAAAACUAAAUUUCAUAUUGCUGCAUUAUCUUUCUGAAUCAGUUUUACCAAAACCGCUAGGUUAUCACGAAUAUCGCAUUACCGGAUUGUUAUUUGCCCAGGAGUACUUGGUUUGGACGACAAGAGGAGAGAUAUAUAGAAGAAAUUAUAAUAUUAUAUACGAGUGAACAACCUACAAAAAUUCUAAGGAUGUGAGGUACUUCAAUCUGUGUGAAGUUCAUAAGUUCCACCAUAACCUCAACCACAUUUUAUUAUUUGAAUGCCUGUAUGAAAAAGGACAGUCCUUACUAAAAAUGGAAUUUAUCCAUGGAAACAUGUGUUGAAAGUCUCUAAGAGGAUUGAACAAGAGUGCAUCAAUAAUCUUGAUACAUAUAUAGUAAUGAAGCAUAGAUGUAUUUGAAGAAAUCAAACAAUAUUGUCAUGUGACAUACCGUGAUGUUGAGGAAUUGUUGAGCUAUAGUAUGACUAGCAUCAACAUCAUUACAUGAACAUUUUUCCCGUUGGAUUCCACAUAACCUAUCAGAUGAAUGACUGAUUCACUAAAAUACUAAAAGGAAGGUGUAAAGAAAAAGGAAAAGAGAAACAACUAUAUAGUUAUUCAAAGGCCGUCCAAAAUGUGAGAACUUUACAGCAACGUAUGACGGCCAAUUCUAAAUUGUACACAGCCAUUGGAGAUAUUCAAAAAACGUCAUAAUUGUUGUGCCAUUCAACACACAGCUUUAAUUUGGUCUCUAAUGCUGUCUAUUUGUUCUCGCACUUCAGAAGUAUAACCAAUAAUUGUUUGACACCGUUAAUUUGGAUCUAUCUCCGUCGGAGUGAAAAACUAUGCCGAGAAUUGAUUCAAACCAAUAGAUAAGAGUACUUAACUUGAUUAAGACCAUAUUGAAAUACAAUAAAACUAUUUUCGAUAAUGGAUACUUGUUUCCUCAGAGAAAAAUCAACAGUAAGGCAAUAUUCCACAGAAUGUA